rnacentral:rRNA from 1 species
UACGGAGGGUGCGAGCGUUGUCCGGAAUCAUUGGGCGUAAAGGGCGCGUAGGUGGCCCGGUCAGUUCGUGGUGAAAGCGCGGGGCUCAAUCCUGCGUCGGCCAUGAAUACUGCCGCGGCUGGAGCACUGUAGAGGCAGGCGGAAUUCCGGGUGUAGCGGUGGAAUGCGUAGAGAUCCGGAAGAACACCGGUGGCGAAGGCGGCCUGCUGGGCAGUUGCUGACACUGAGGCGCGACAGCGUGGGGAGCAAACAGG